rnacentral:lncRNA from 1 species
GUAGUACUCUCAGUCCUGAUGUCACAGACGCGGCAAGGACAUCGCAAGGAGGAGUCGGAUUACAGUAAGGAUGGGCAGUGCAGCAGGCAGCCGGAGCGCACGCUCCAGCCGCCGGGGAUCGUAGCCCGGGAAAGGCAGCCUGCGAGGCGCUCAUCCCGCGGAAGAGGCACGCUCCGCGCUCGCUGCUCUCCGCGCCGGGGACGUUUCCACCGAAUGUAGCAUGAAACGGCUCUGCUCUGCGUGCCAGCCUUGGGUACGAGCUGAUGCCGAAGACGCCGCGGUGGGGUUCCAGCUGUCUGAUUAAUGAGAAACAUAAUGUAUUUUGGAUUUCCCAUCCAGUCAGCUCAGGACUGGAUCCUGAGAGAAUACAGAAACCCAGAUGGGACCAAGUGCCACCCACGCUGUACUGUUUGUUUGCAAAUAUCUCCAGAAGAUGGGACACUACUACUGUUCAGACAUAAAAUGCCAGGCUGGGCUCCAGAUUUCAUGCUGAUCUUUAUAAAAUCCAGUUGAGAGGCUUUGUGUAUUUAUAAACUCAUCUUUCCAUAAAGUGUAACAUUUCACUUGCAUAACUUAA